rnacentral:rRNA from 1 species
AUUGAACGCUGGCGGCAGGCCUAACACAUGCAAGUCGAGCGGAUGAAGGGAGCUUGCUCCUGGAUUCAGCGGCGGACGGGUGAGUAAUGCCUAGGAAUCUGCCUGGUAGUGGGGGAUAACGUCCGGAAACGGGCGCUAAUACCGCAUACGUCCUGAGGGAGAAAGUGGGGGAUCUUCGGACCUCACGCUAUCAGAUGAGCCUAGGUCGGAUUAGCUAGUUGGUGGGGUAAAGGCCUACCAAGGCGACGAUCCGUAACUGGUCUGAGAGGAUGAUCAGUCACAAUGGAACUGAGACACGGGCCAGACUCCUAGGGGAGGCAGCAGUGGGGAAUAUUGGACAAUGGGCGAAAGCCUGAUCCAGCCAUGCCGCGUGUGUGAAGAAGGUCUUCGGAUUGUAAAGCACUUUAAGUUGGGAGGAAGGGCAGUAAGUUAAUACCUUGCUGUUUUGACGUUACCAACAGAAUAAGCACCGGCUAACUUCGUG